rnacentral:rRNA from 1 species
GAGUUUGAUCGUGGCUCAGAACGAACGCUGGCGGCAGGCUUAACACAUGCAAGUCGAACGCAUCCGCAAGGGUGAGUGGCAGACGGGUGAGUAACGCGUGGGAAUCCACCCAGUGGUACGGAAUAACUCGGGGAAACUCGAGCUAAUACCGUAUGAGCCCUUAGGGGGAAAGAUUUAUCGCCAUUGGAGGAGCCCGCGUCGGAUUAGGUAGUUGGUGGGGUAAAGGCCCACCAAGCCGACGAUCCGUAGCUGGUCUGAGAGGAUGAUCAGCCACACUGGGACUGAGACACGGCCCAGACUCCUACGGGAGGCAGCAGCGGGGAAUAUUGGACAAUGGGCGCAAGCCUGAUCCAGCCAUGCCGCGUGAGUGAUGAAGGCCUUAGGGUUGUAAAGCUCUUUCGCCGGUGAAGAUAAUGACGGUAACCGGAGAAGAAGCCCCGGCUAACUUCGUGCCAGCCGCCGCUGU